AACGAACGCUGGCGGCAUGCCUAACACAUGCAAGUCGAACGAGACCUUCGGGUCUAGUGGCGCACGGGUGCGUAACGCGUGGGAAUCUGCCCUUGGGUUCGGAAUAACUCAGAGAAAUUUGAGCUAAUACCGGAUGAUGACGUAAGUCCAAAGAUUUAUCGCCCAAGGAUGAGCCCGCGUAAGAUUAGCUUGUUGGUGGGGUAAUGGCCUACCAAGGCGACGAUCUUUAGCUGGUCUGAGAGGAUGAUCAGCCACACUGGGACUGAGACACGGCCCAGACUCCUACGGGAGGCAGCAGUGGGGAAUAUUGGACAAUGGGCGAAAGCCUGAUCCAGCAAUGCCGCGUGAGUGAUGAAGGCCUUAGGGUUGUAAAGCUCUUUUACCAGGGAUGAUAAUGACAGUACCUGGAGAAUAAGCUCCGGCUAACUCCGUG
rnacentral:rRNA from 1 species